rnacentral:snRNA from 1 species
UUACUUACUCCGUGAAUCG